CUCCUCCACGCACGCGACCUCUUCAGCUCUACGGCCAGCUGGGAAGGACCUCGCGCCCGAGUGCUGCGCCCAGGCCCACAAAGCCGGCCAUCUGGGUGAGGCCGUGCAGGGCAGGGAUUGGGAAGGAGAGACAUUAGCUCUAGCCAGAUCGGCCGCGCGUGCCUCCGUGACGCCGGCCUCCCUCGUGGUCCUUCAUUACCCCACGCUUCGAGCUCCACUGCCGCCCUCUCCUUUCAUCUCCUCUUCCACCACGUGGAUGGGGACGGUACCCUCAAUCACCACCACCGUCGACGGCGUACUCUGCAUCCCUCAUCGACCCAUCGAGUCGCCCUCCCCUUGGGUCCAACCGGCUUGGUUCUAGCGGCGGCGCAAGCUCCAGCCGUGCAAUGGGAAGUGAAGCAAGGUGGGCACGUACAGAUCAAUCAGCAACUCCUUGUCGUGUGGCUACAUCGCCGGCGGUGGUCGGCCGAGUUCAGCUCGCUGGUGACGAAACUUGAAUCCGUGUCAUCAAGAGGAAUAGAUCAGGAGAGGGCGAGAUAUCAGAAGGUUGAAGAACUGAAAGAAACAAUAAGAACAACAGAAGACGCAAAAAAUCAUUCACUCAAAGAGUAUAAGCUUAUUAAGGUAUCCUGCUUUUCAAGUAUGCGGUGCUGUAGUGAACUAGUGAUCGAUUCAUGUGUGGAUUAGUUUACCUCUUUCUAAGGUAUCUUGCUAAUUAUCCUAAAGGCAUGCUAUUCCUUUUUGUUUGUGUUAAGCAGGUAACUUGUAAUGGUUGCUAAUUAUAUAUUCAUGUGCACCAGAUUAUGCUCUUUUGACUUCGUAUCACUUUACUUAUACUUAAUUACAAGCUAAGUAUCUGUUUACUUGUUUCCAUUAAGAAAAGUAUCUUCAAAAUAUGUGAAGGUUAUAUAAGAUCAAAAUAUUAACAUGUAAAUCUGAAAUAUAAACAUCAGUGAGCAAUGCUCCUGCAUCAGGGACUCAGGGUAUAAAUGUGCGUUUUUAGAUUGAGUACAUUCUAUUCCAUUAAUCGCUACGACCAGCAAUAUCGUCUCCAGCUACCAAACUGAGCACAAAGUCAGGAUCACCAUCUAGCUAGCCAAACACACGUCAGCGACCUUGUAACAAUGCAUCUUUGUUUCUCAGAUAUUUUUUUGACCUGUAUACUAUUUAUUUGGUUUGUGUUCCUGUUCUUUAUCGAAAAAUAUAUCCAUAUUGUUUAUACACAUUAUUACCUCUCUGUAAAAAUUGAUGUUUUCAGAGAUCCGGUGAAGAAAUGUCCUUCAUCGCUGAGACUAUACUGUUGGACAGUGUCAUUGCUUCUGAAUCAACUAAAGUAUCUGUAAUAUAAACCUGUUGCCCAUGUGUUCAUAUGUGCUUAUCAGUGCAAUAAGCAUCUUUCAUGUCUCUGUUUCUAGCCAUCUGAUUGAUUUCAAUUUCUUUCUGAUAUGCAUCGCGAUAUAAUGAGUUUAUCUACGACCACCUCAUCACUAACAUCCGCAAUAGCAAAGUCACCGCCAACCUAGCCGCAGCCGUAGCCAAGGCUGGCAUAACUGGAUGCGAUAAGACAAAUGGUAAUCUUCUGUACGCAGGAUGUCACAUGUUCUACAAUCUUUGGUGUUUCGGGAUCAUUUGGACAAGUUUACAGAGGAGAAUGACAUGGAACACUCGCUCGUCUUGCUGAGAUGGAGGUGAAGUAUCAAUUAAAGUUCUGGAAAUUGGCCUCCCACUGGGAGGAAUUGCAAAGUUGUUUGCUUAGGAUUUGCUCAUGAUUGUUGAUUAGAACGAACAUAAUUGUCCAUUGUCCUGCUCUCAUUAGAUCUUGCACUGUCGCCCUUGGAUAUUGGGAAGUCUGAAGAAGCCUGUGGUUUAGCGCGUCUGGGCAUUGGAGUGGGCCAACUACCUGACGAUGGGAAAGAUGGAGAUGCUCUCUGAGCAACAGUUGCUGCGACCAUGAGGUGGCCAACCGUUACUUGAUUAUGACGAGAAGUACCUAAGUUCAAUACCAAAGAUUAGUGAUUCAUGUCAAAAAUUUCAGAGUAGAACAAUAUGUCUUUAGGUUGUCCUUCCCUAAUUAAUUCAGUCAUAGUAACAUUGAUAUGCUAUUUCUUUUUGGCUGCUCACACAUCUUCAUAACUAGUGGUCGCACCCUUGGUGCGCCUCCUGAGUGGUGACUCUGCGGUGCCAGUCCAACUGUUCCAUACCAGAGGAGAGAGGGGAGUGGCGAGCUGUACCUGAGUGGAGAUGUAGGGCCGGCUACCAUGGAGCAUCGGAGGCAUGGCAGUGCUGUGGUCGGCUGCUUGCCGGUAGCACCAGAGAAGACGUCGCAGUGGCCGUGCUUGCUAGCAUGGCGGCAGCCAGGAAAGUCAACGCAGCAACCAAGGACUCGAACGAACGGAUCGGCGGAAGAGCCGCCUCGCACGACCUCCACCUCCGCUGCCUAUACAGCCUGCCAGGCGACUGUCGAGCCACCU